rfam:Hordeum vulgare subsp. vulgare, WGS project CAJW01000000 data, contig: morex_contig_66605
CUAGUACUCCCUCCGUCCGGAAAUACUUGUCCUAAAGAUGAAUGUAUUUAGACUUAUUUUAGUUAUAGAUACAUCCAUUAUAUCCAUUUAUAGGACAAGUAUUUCCGGACGGAGGGAGUACUAC